rnacentral:rRNA from 1 species
UGGGGAAUUUUGGACAAUGGGCGAAAGCCUGAUCCAGCAAUGCCGCGUGUGUGAAGAAGGCCUUCGGGUUGUAAAGCACUUUUGUCCGGAAAGAAAUCCUUGGCUCUAAUACAGUCGGGGGAUGACGGUACCGGAAGAAUAAGCACCGGCUAACUACGUGCCAGCAGCCGCGGUAAUACGUAGGGUGCAAGCGUUAAUCGGAAUUACUGGGCGUAAAGCGUGCGCAGGCGGUUUGCUAAGACCGAUGUGAAAUCCCCGGGCUCAACCUGGGAACUGCAUUGGUGACUGGCAGGCUAGAGUAUGGCAGAGGGGGGUAGAAUUCCACGUGUAGCAGUGAAAUGCGUAGAGAUGUGGAGGAAUACCGAUGGCGAAGGCAGCCCCCUGGGCCAAUACUGACGCUCAUGCACGAAAGGCGUGGGGAGCAAACAGGAUUAGAUACCCUGGUAGUCCACGCCCUAAACGAUGUCAACUAGUUGUUGGGGAUUCAUUUCCUUAGUAACGUAGCUAACGCGUGAAGUUGACCGCCUGGGGGAGUACGGUCGCAAGAUUAAAACUUAAAGGAAUUGACGGGGUCAUAGCUGUUUCCU